GUUGGGGUAGCUCAGUUGGUUGCGCAUGAGUCUCUUAAUUUCAGAAUCGUGGGUUUGAGCCCCACACUGGGCA